rnacentral:rRNA from 1 species
UACAGAGGUCUCAAGCGUUGUUCGGAUUCAUUGGGCGUAAAGGGUGCGUAGGUGGCGAGGUAAGUCGGAUGUGAAAUCCCGGAGCUCAACUCCGGAACUGCAUUCGAUACUGCUUUGCUCGAGUACUGGAGAGGAGAUUGGAAUUUACGGUGUAGCAGUGAAAUGCGUAGAUAUCAGGAGGAACACCUAUGGCGAAGGCAGCUCGCUGGGACGGUACUGACGCUGAGACGCGAAAGCGUGGGGAGCGAACAGG